UACUCUCAGCAAUAGCUAUCUAGGCUCUCACAAUAAUGAAGAACAUAGUGAAAUGCAAUACAUGAUGUGAAUUGCAGAAUUUUAUGAAUCAUCAAAGUUUUGAAUGCAACAUAUGCCUGAGGGCAUGUGUCUGAGUGUAU
rnacentral:rRNA from 1 species